GACGAACGCUGGCGGCGUGCUUAACACAUGCAAGUCGAACGGAAAGGCCCUGCUUUUGUGGGGUGCUCGAGUGGCGAACGGGUGAGUAACACGUGAGUAACCUGCCCUUGACUUUGGGAUAACUUCAGGAAACUGGGGCUAAUACCGGAUAGGAGCUCCUGCUGCAUGGUGGGGGUUGGAAAGUUUCGGCGGUUGGGGAUGGACUCGCGGCUUAUCAGCUUGUUGGUGGGGUAGUGGCUUACCAAGGCUUUGACGGGUAGCCGGCCUGAGAGGGUGACCGGCGACAUUGGGAAUGAGAUAAGGCCCAGACUCCUACGGGAGGCAGCAGUGGGGAAUAUUGCACAAUGGGCGGAAGCCUGAUGCAGCAACGCCGCGUGCGGGAUGACGGCCUUCGGGUUGUAAACCGCUUUCGCCUGUGACGAAGCGUGAGUGACGGUAAUGGGUAAAGAAGCACCGGCUAACUACGUG
rnacentral:rRNA from 1 species